GAUGAACGCUGGCGGCGUGCCUAAUACAUGCAAGUCGAGCGAACAGACGAGGAGCUUGCUCCUCUGACGUUAGCGGCGGACGGGUGAGUAACACGUGGAUAACCUACCUAUAAGACUGGGAUAACUUCGGGAAACCGGAGCUAAUACCGGAUAAUAUAUUGAACCGUAUGGUUCAAUAGUGAAAGACGGUUUUGCUGUCACUUAUAGAUGGAUACGGGCCUCAUUAGCUAGUUGGUAAGUUACGACUUACCAAGGCAACGAUGCGUAGCCGACGUGAGAGGGUGAUCGGCCACACUGGAACUGAGACACGGUCCAGACUCCUACGGGAGGCAGCAGUAGGGAAUCUUCCGCAAUGGGCGAGAGCCUGACGGAGCAACGGCGAGUGAGUGAUGAAGGUCUUCGGAUCGUAAAACUCUGUUAUUAGGGAAGAACAAAUGUGUACGUAACUAUGCACGUCUUGACGGUAACUAAUCAGAAAGCCACGGCUAACUACGUG
rnacentral:rRNA from 1 species